GACGAACGCUGGCGGCGUGCCUAAUACAUGCAAGUCGAGCGAAACGGCGGAUGGGUGAGUAACGCGUGGGUAACCUGACCUUAAGUCUGGGAUAGCAUUUGGAACCAGAUGCUAAUACCGGUUACUAAUCGACGGGCAGUCGAUGCAGUAGCUAGUUGGUAAGGUGACGGCGUACCAAGGCGCUGAUGCAUAGCCGAGGUGAGAGGCUGAUCGGCCACAUUGGGCAUGAGACACGGCCCAAACUCCUACGGGAGGCAGCAGUAGGGAAUCUGCCACAAUGGACGAAAGGCUGAUGGAGCAACGCCGCGUGAGUGAAGAAGGUUUUCGGAUCGUAAAGCUCUGUUGUUGGUGAAGCGGUAAUCAACCAGAAAGUCACGGCUAACUACGUGCCAGCAGCCGCGGUAAUUC
rnacentral:rRNA from 1 species